rnacentral:lncRNA from 1 species
UAUGAAGAAGUGUUAGUAGGAGUGGAAUCCACUACAUAAACACUGUAGACUCAUUGCAUUUCAGGUCAGUAAAGGACCCCAAGGAGACCCUGGACUUUCACUGCUGGAAUCUUUCUUCCAAUCCACUUUGACAUGCUGGAUUUGGUUUUAAAAUAUAGUAGCAAAGGAAAGGACCUGUUUGAAAGCUGGCAUGGACAACAUGAUGGAGGGAGAAAGAAAGGAAUCUAGGAAAGUCUUCUGUACCAGAACCCAAAAGGGAUCAUGGCCAAACUCAACCACCCAACUCUGACAUCUAUGGUUGCUGUUCUAAUAUGGAUCCAUGCUUCAGUACUUACAAGAAUCCAUGACUUCAUUGAUGUGGGACCUUUCUCUCCUCUGAGGGAGAGUAGAGCCCUGCCAUGCCUUAGUAGGCAGUCAUCAGGAGCUGCUGUAGCCAGAAAACCAUCAUCACCUGGUAGGCAGCCUUCUGCUGAUGGGCCUCUCUGAACUAAUCUUGGCCGGUCCUUGGAUGACAGACACUAGGCCAAUACUUGAAGCCUAUCCAGCCCUGGGUAGGACCUGCCAGGGCUUGAAUUCUAUGGACAUAACCUACCCAGAAUAGCCUCUGUUCCAUAGUGAGGAAUAAGAGGAGGACUUUGGUGGAGGACAACAUGAUUAUAACAAUCUGAUUUUUUAAAUCAACAAUUAAACUGCUAAUGAACCAUUA